AAAAGAACCUGAAACCGUGUACGUACAAGCAGUGGGAGCCUCUUAAUGGGGUGACUGCGUACCUUUUGUAUAAUGGGUCAGCGACUUAUAUUCUGUAGCAAGGUUAACCGAAUAGGGGAGCCGAAGGGAAACCGAGUCUUAACUGGGCGUUAAGUUGCAGGGUAUAGACCCGAAACCCGGUGAUCUAGCCAUGGGCAGGUUGAAGGUUGGGUAACACUAACUGGAGGACCGAACCGACUAAUGUUGAAAAAUUAGCGGAUGACUUGUGGCUGGGGGUGAAAGGCCAAUCAAACCGGGAGAUAGCUGGUUCUCCCCGAAAGCUAUUUAGGUAGCGCCUCGUGAAUUCAUCUCCGGGG
rnacentral:rRNA from 1 species